AUGCCCCGCCCCUCACGCAGCGCGCCGUCAGUGGGGUGGAAAGUGAGACCAACUCAGAAAUGGAGCAAUAGAGGCAGGGAGUGGUCUUGGCCUCUCUUCCAGGCUGUAGUCAGUCGAAAGACGGCUCUGGGGUUUCUUUGGCCUGUCGGGACGAACUUACAGAACUUUUGCCCUUCAACAAGCCCCACUGUACCCUUGUAACUGCCCCCAAGCCAAGGAACAUGACCCACCCCUACCCGCCCCGGGAGCCCCAUGGCUCCUGUCCUGUUCUGUCAUCUCCACCCUAUGAAGGUGGCCAGCGUCUGGAGUUUAGCCCAAUGGAGUCUUGCUGUGUUGCCUAGGCUGGAGUGCAGUGGCACCAUGUCGACUCACUGCAACCUCCGCCUCCCCGGUUCAAGCGAUUCUCCUGCCUCAGCCUCCUGAGUAGCUGGGAUUACAGGUGAGCACCACCAUGCCCAGCUAAUCGUAAAAGACUUUUCAUAAAACUUCAGAACUCCUUAAAAACUAGUGAAUAGCCAAGGUGAAGAAAGCCCUCAGGCUUCUGACUUUAGACCCCAAUCCCUGGGACUCCCACACUCAGCAAAGAAAGCUGGGUGCCUGCACCCUGGAUCUCUGAGCAAACCUGUCUUAUGGCUGUGGGCAACUCAGGAACAUGAAUUAGCACGAGAAUCUGGAGUUUUUCUUUCCUUUUCUGGGUCUCACUCUGUCACCCAGGCUGGAGUGCAGUGGCGCAGUCAUGGCUCCCUGUAACCUCAACCUCUCAGAC
rnacentral:lncRNA from 1 species